rnacentral:misc_RNA from 1 species
GUUUUCUUUUUUGGACACCCUCUUCUAUUCUAGUUCCAGCACCAUCUCAAACCGCCAAAUUCAAUUUUGUAUUCUUUUAUGAAUUUUUCUCUUAUAAUUUCGGUGAUUAUUAUCAUCUUUUGCAGUAUAAAAUAAUAAGAAUUGUAGAAUCAACGGCUAUAAAUAGGCCUCCCUCUCUGCUCUCAUUUGCGCUCCAAGGAAAAUGGAUACCAUUUCAAGCUCAACUUCACUCUCAACUCCGCGGUUCCGGUGCUUCGAUCCUACAAACUCUUAUCAUUCAACAACAACAGUCAAUCACAGGCCUUAUUUCUUGACCUUCUCUGCAAAUUCUACCACCGCUAGUACCAGAGAUUGCUCUUCCAAGGACGCCAUGAAAAAUUCUACAAAAUACGAGCCCAAGAUCAUCACCGGUGACGAUGGCUACGUUCUUGAAGACGUUCCUCACUUGACAGAUCACAUAUCUGAUCUCCCUACAUAUCCCAAUCCAUUACAAGACAAUCCUUCCUAUUCAGUUGUCAAGCAGUAUUUCGUUAAUGCGGAUGAUACUGUAGCCCAGAAGAUUGUUGUACAGAAAGACAGUCUAAGAGGAACUCACUUUAGACGUGCUGGGCCUCGUCAAAAGGUGUACUUCGAGUCAGAUGAAGUGCACGCAUGUAUUGUAACAUGUGGUGGUCUAUGCCCUGGUUUAAACACAGUGAUUAGAGAAUUAGUGUGUGGCUUGUAUCACAUGUAUGGUGUUAACAGAGUUCUUGGGAUAGAGGGAGGAUACAGAGGCUUUUAUGCUCGGAAUACAGUUCCCCUGUCACCGAAGGUUGUGAAUGAUAUCCAUAAACGUGGUGGUACCAUCCUUGGGACGUCUAGAGGAGGCUAUGAUACCUCCAAGAUAGUUGACAGCAUCCAGGACAGGGGCAUCAAUCAGGUUUAUAUAAUUGGAGGAGAUGGAACUCAAAGAGGGGCUUCAGUGAUUUUUGAGGAAAUUAGAAGACGUGGCCUCAAAGUUGCUGUGGUUGGAAUUCCAAAGACAAUUGACAAUGACAUUCCGGUUAUAGACAAGUCCUUCGGUUUUGAUACUGCUGUUGAGGAGGCUCAACGAGCUAUUAAUGCGGCCCAUGUCGAGGCUGAGAGCUUUGAGAAUGGUAUAGGUGUUGUCAAGUUAAUGGGACGGCACAGUGGAUUUAUAGCAAUGUAUGCUACUCUUGCCAGCCGAGAUGUGGACUGUUGCUUGAUUCCAGAAUCACCCUUUUACCUUGAAGGCCCUGGUGGACUUUUUGAAUUCAUUAGAAAAAGACUAAAAGAACAUGGGCACAUGGUUAUUGUAAUUGCUGAAGGUGCAGGACAAGAGCUUCUUUGUGAAAGUAUGCGUGCCAUGGACCAGCAGGAUGCUUCAGGAAACAAGUUACUCCAAGAUGUUGGUUUGUGGAUAUCCCAGAAAAUUAAAGAUAACUUUGCAAACCGGGAAAAGAUGAAUAUAACUCUCAAAUACAUUGAUCCCACUUACAUGAUCCGUGCUAUUCCAAGCAAUGCGUCUGACAAUGUGUACUGCACUCUACUAGCUCACAGUGCCAUUCAUGGUGCAAUGGCAGGAUAUACAGGGUUCACAGUUGGGCCUGUUAAUGGAAGACAUGCUUACAUACCAUUUCAUCGGGUGACUGAGAGACAGAACAAGGUUGUAAUUACUGAUAGAAUGUGGGCAAGACUUCUGUCGUCAACAAAUCAGCCAAGCUUUGUGGAUCCUAAACAAGUAAUUAAAGAUAAAGACACCGUAGAUGAAGAACCACGGAGUCAAUUACUAAAUGGGGAAAAUCACAUCGAUACGCUGACAACCCAGGAAAGGGUUUAAAACAAUACAUGCCAAAUUGAGUAACAUUGCUGUGGAGAACAUACUUCUUGCAGCGUCCUUAUCGGAUGCUGGCUUUGGUCACGUUCUAUUUAGUACCCUGUUUCAGAAACUCCCGCAAGGUUUUUGUGCAAGUUGCUGUUAAGUUUUCAGGCUUGUUCUUUCUUGUUGUAGUACCAGAGAAACAUUUGUAAACCAGCCUAAGCAGUCAGCGCUGGAGGUGUGUUUUUCCAAGUCAUUCAGCUGCGUAUAAAGUUGUUAGAUCAGUGAUCAAAACAAGUAAUUUUGAACUGUUUGCUUUUGUAAAAACAUAACCUCGCAACUCUUCUUCUUACUCCUCUCUCGUCCAUUAUCACCAGUUC